AACUAGUUUCCUAAUUUGAAAAUAGAAUGAAUGACUCCACGGGGGGGGAAAAUAUAGUUUUUUUAAGUUGAACUUAGUGAUUUAGUGAAAAACCUAAAACAGUUUUCUUAGACGAUAAGACCCUAUGAAGCUUAAGGCAAAAAUAAAAUUUUAAAUACUAGUGCUAGUUGCCUUAAUUGGGGCAAUUUCUAACUACGUUAUUAAUUAGUUUAUUACAGAAAAGAUCUUAAAAUAAAUAAUCUGAAUUAGCUACUCUAGGGAUAACAGCAUAAUAGGCACUUAAGUUCAUAUUAAAAUGCCAGC
rnacentral:rRNA from 1 species